rnacentral:rRNA from 1 species
CCUACGGGAGGCAGCAGUGAGGAAUAUUGGUCAAUGGGCGCGACCCUGAACCAGCCACGCCGCGUGAGGGAUGAAGGUUCUAGGGGUGGAAACUCCUUUUGUUAGGGGAGAUAAUGACGGUAUCUAACGAAUAAGCAACAGCUAACGACGUGACAGCAGCCGCGGGAAUAAGGCGGGUGCAAGCGUUACUAGGAAUCACUGGGGGUAAAGAGCGCGUAGGCGGGAUAGCAAGUCAGAUGUUAAAUCCUAUGGCUUAACCAUAGAACUGCAGUUGAAACUGUUAUUCUAGAGUAUGGGAGAGGUAGGUGGAAUGCUUGGUGUAGCGGUAAAAUCCGUAGAGAUCAAGAGGAAUACUCAUUGCGAAGGCGACCUGCUAGAACCUAACUGACGCUGAUGCGCGAAAGCGUGGGGAGCAAACAGGAUUAGAAACCCCAGUAGUC